UACGGAGGGUGCGAGCGUUAAUCGGAAUUACUGGGCGUAAAGCGUGCGUAGGCGGUUGGUUAAGUUAGAUGUGAAAGCCCCGGGCUUAACCUGGGAACUGCAUUUAGAACUGGCCAGCUAGAGUUAGGUAGAGGGGAGCGGAAUUCCGGGCGUAGCGGUGAAAUGCGUAGUUAUCCGGAGGAACACCAGUGGCGAAGGCAGCUCCCUGGACCCAAACUGACGCUGAGGUACGAAAGCGUGGGUAGCAAACAGG
rnacentral:rRNA from 1 species